AUGGAAUGCUGUGUAUCUAUUUUUAAUGGCCCUACUCCUUAUAUUAUGAAGGCAUCUUCUGCACACAGUCUGCAUUGCUUGAUUUAUACACAAUCAUCUGGAGGGCCUCCACCCUUCUAUCUGUCAUCCCAAGAUGAGGUGUGGACAAUCCACUCUCCCAGUGGGAAAUUAAAGCAAUGUCUACAGGUCUUAAGAAAUGAAGAUCUAGUUUUUCCUUCGUGUGAGACUCCGUGGCUUACAGGAGGAGAAAGUCCACGUCCUACAGAUGAUGGGAUAUGAGAAAGCAACAGAAAAGGAAAGAAAAAAAGAAAGCAAUUCUGCAAACUGAGUUAUUACAAAUAUUGCAAGACUCAAAAUAAAUUGAAGCCUGGCACUACUGCA
rnacentral:lncRNA from 1 species